rnacentral:rRNA from 1 species
GACGAACGCUGGCGGCGUGCUUAACACAUGCAAGUCGAACGAAAAGAGGGAAAGAGCUUGCUCUUUCCGGAAUUGAGUGGCAAACGGGUGAGUAACACGUAAACAACCUGCCUUCAGGAUGGGGACAACAGACGGAAACGACUGCUAAUACCGAAUAAGUUCCAAGAGCCGCAUGGCCCAUGGAAGAAAAGGUGGCCUCUACCUGUAAGCUAUCGCCUGAAGAGGGGUUUGCGUCUGAUUAGCUGGUUGGAGGGGUAACGGCCCACCAAGGCGACGAUCAGUAGCCGGUCUGAGAGGAUGAACGGCCACACUGGAACUGAGACACGGUCCAGACUCCUACGGGAGGCAGCAGUGGGGAAUCUUCCGCAAUGGGCGAAAGCCUGACGGAGCAACGCCGCGUGAGUGAUGACGGCCUUCGGGUUGUAAAAAUCUGUGAUCCGGGACGAAAAGGCAGAGUGCGAAGAACAAACUGCAUUGACGGUACCGGAAAAGCAAGCCACGGCUAACUACGUG